rnacentral:rRNA from 1 species
CUUGUUGGUGGGGUAAUGGCCUACCAAGGCUUUGACGGGUAGCCGGCCUGAGAGGGCGACCGGCCACACUGGGACUGAGACACGGCCCAGACUCCUGCGGGAGGCAGCAGUGGGGAAUAUUGCACAAUGGGCGAAAGCCCGAUGCAGCGACGCCGCGUGAGGGAUGACGGCCUUCGGGUUGUAAACCUCUUUCAGCAGGGACGAAGCGAAAGUGACUGUACCUGCAGAAGAAGCACCGGCUAACUACGUGCCAGCAGCCGCGGUAAUACGUAGGGUGCGAGCGUUGUCCGGAUUUAUUGGGCGUAAAGAGCUUGUAGGCGGCUCGUCACGUCGGGUGUGAAAACUCGCGGCUCAACCGCGAGCCUGCACCCGAUACGGGCGGGCUGGAGUUCGGCAGGGGAGACUGGAAUUCCUGGUGUAGCGGUGGAAUGCGCAGAUAUCAGGAGGAACACCGGUGGCGAAGGCGGGUCUCUGGGCCGAUACUGACGCUGAGAAGCGAAAGCGUGGGGAGCGAACAGGAUUAGAUACCCUGGUAGUCCACGCCGUAAACGUUGGGAACUAGGUGUGGGGUCCAUUCCACGGGCUCUGUGCCGCAGCUAACGCAUUAAGU